AAGUCGUAACAAGGUUUCCGUAGGUGAACCUGCGGAAGGAUCAUUAACGAGUUCGGGACCCUCUCACGAGGCCCAACCUCCAACCCUUGUGUUUAACCAACCCACGUUGCUUCGGCGGGCCCGUCGACCUUCGAGCACCCGUGCCCGGAGCGAGACCGCCGGGGAGAGCCAGGACCGUCACACCGUCCUGUUCCCCCCCUGGCCCGUUGCCCGCCGGCGGCCAACCCCUUCCAAAACUCUUGAUGCAAACCAUGUCGUCUGAGUCGCGAAAACAAAAAAUUAAAAUUAAAACUUUCAACAACGGAUCUCUUGGUUCUGGCAUCGAUGAAGAACGCAGCGAAAUGCGAUAAGUAAUGCGAAUUGCAGAAUUUCAGUGAGUCAUCGAAUCUUUGAACGCACAUUGCGCCCAUUGGUAUUCCGAUGGGCAUGCCUGUUCGAGCGUCAUUAUCACCUCUCAAGCCUGGCUUGUCGUUGGACCUGGGCGGGCGCCCCCCGUGGGCCCCGCCGGUCUCAAUAGUAAUGACGGCGUCCGUGGGACUCUCGGUGCAACGAGCUCCUCCUUAGAAGCACGCAACGAGUCGCAAAGUCCCCCGGCCCGGUCCUCCUUGGGUUCCCCCCAGAACCCGCCCCCAUUUAUCCACAAGGUUGACCUCGGAUCAGGUAGGAAUACCCGCUGAACUUAA
rnacentral:rRNA from 1 species